GCUUAGUCGCAGUAGAAGACUGCAUUUCAUUUGUCUCAAGUACACAAUUAUUACAUUUGUCUCAGGUUAUCAUGUGCUUCUUUUGCAGUGAUUAUAACAGUUGAAAAUAUUCCUUUUGAAUAUGUGUUCUAAAGUGGCAAUGCAAUAUUAAAAACAUGCCAAAGAUAGAUAGAUAGAUAGAUAGAUAGAUAGAUAGAUAGACAGAUAGAUAGAUUGAUAGAUUCUAAAAUAUACUGCCUAUAUCAUGUACAAGUUCCAAGGGGGUUUAAAAAAAAAUAAAAAAACAGUCCCACACCACACAGCAGCU